UACGGAGGGUGCUAGCGUUGUUCGGAAUCACUGGGCGUAAAGGGCGUGUAGGCGGUCUGUUAAGUCUGAUGUGAAAUCCCCUCGCUCAACGAGGGAACUGCGUCGGAUACUGGCAGACUUGAGUACCGGAGAGGAAGGUGGAAUUCCCGGUGUAGUGGUGAUAUGCGUAGAUAUCGGGAGGAACACCUGUGGCGAAGGCGGCUUUCUGGGCCUUACCUGACGCUGAGACGCGAAAGCGUGGGGAGCGAACCGG
rnacentral:rRNA from 1 species